rnacentral:rRNA from 1 species
UCGAGCGAACUGAUUAGAAGCUUGCUUCUAUGACGUUAGCGGCGGACGGGUGAGUAACACGUGGGCAACCUGCCUGUAAGACUGGGAUAACUUCGGGAAACCGAAGCUAAUACCGGAUAGGAUCUUCUCCUUCAUGGGAGAUGAUUGAAAGAUGGUUUCGGCUAUCACUUACAGAUGGGCCCGCGGUGCAUUAGCUAGUUGGUGAGGUAACGGCUCACCAAGGCAACGAUGCAUAGCCGACCUGAGAGGGUGAUCGGCCACACUGGGACUGAGACACGGCCCAGACUCCUACGGGAGGCAGCAGUAGGGAAUCUUCCGCAAUGGACGAAAGUCUGACGGAGCAACGCCGCGUGAGUGAUGAAGGCUUUCGGGUCGUAAAACUCUGUUGUUAGGGAAGAACAAGUACGAGAGUAACUGCUCGUACCUUGACGGUACCUAACCAGAAAGCCACGGCUAACUACGUGCCAGCAGCCGCGGUAAUACGUAGGUGGCAAGCGUUAUCCGGAAUUAUUGGGCGUAAAGCGCGCGCAGGCGGUUUCUUAAGUCUGAUGUGAAAGCCCACGGCUCAACCGUGGAGGGUCAUUGGAAACUGGGGAACUUGAGUGCAGAAGAGAAAAGCGGAAUUCCACGUGUAGCGGUGAAAUGCGUAGAGAUGUGGAGGAACACCAGUGGCGAAGGCGGCUUUUUGGUCUGUAACUGACGCUGAGGCGCGAGACCCUGGGGAGCAAACAGGAUUAGAUACUCUGGUAGUCCACGCCGUACACGAUGAGUGCUGAGUGUUACAGGGUUUCCGCCCUUUAGUGCUGCAGCUAACGCAUUAAGCACUCCGCCUGGGGAGUACGGUCGCAAGACUGAAACUCACACGAAUUGACGGAGGCGCGCACAAUCGGUGGAGCAUGUGGUUUAUUU